rnacentral:tRNA from 1 species
CCCUUCGUAGUUCAGUUGGUUAGAACGCCAGAUUGUGGAUCUGGAGGUCACCGGUUCGAGUCUGGUCGAAGGGA